CCUACGGGAGGCAGCAGUGAGGAAUAUUGGUCAAUGGACGGAAGCCUGAACCAGCCAAGUCGCGUGCAGGAAGACGGUUCUUUGUGUUGUAAACUGCUUUUGUCGGGGGACAAACGCAGAUACGCGUCUCCGUCUGAGUGUACCCUACGAAUAAGCAUCGGCUAACUCCGUGCCAGCAGCCGCGGUAAUACGGAGGAUUCGAGCGUUAUCCGGAUUUAUUGGGUUUAAAGGGUGCGCAGGCGGGCGAUCGAGUCAGCGGUAAAAUCUCGGGGCUCAACCCCGGCCUGCCGUUGAAACUGGUGGGCUAGAGAGGGAGAGAAGUAGGCGGAAUGUGUGGUGUAGCGGUGAAAUGCAUAGAGAUCACGCAGAACUCCGAUUGCGAAGGCAGCAUACCGGGUCAAUACUGACGCUGAGGCACGAAAGCGUGGGGAGCGAACAGGAUUAGAUACCCCUGUAGUC
rnacentral:rRNA from 1 species